AUAUUUCAGGUUGUACCUCCGUGGAAGCAGAGAAAAUUAAAUUUGUUAGAUCUGCGCUAGAACGUAUUCUCCAGGGACGGUUAGUAGGAGAGGAGAAGGGAACUUUCAAUCCAAACUCAGCUCAUGGAAAAGUUCUCACUCUUCUGGUGAGAAUCCUGGAGUCGGAUACUCAGAACUGAUCUCUCCAACCUCCCGGAGUUGAUCGUUCAGCUGUCCAACCUCUGGGAGUUAAUUGUUCAGUUGUUCAACCUCCGAGAGUUAAUCGUUCACCUGUCCAACCUCCUGGAGUAUCGUUCAGCUGCUCAACCUCCCGGAUUUAAUCGUUAAGAUGUUCAAUCUCCCGGAGUAUCAUUCGGCUGUCCAACCUCCCGGAGUUGUUCAGCUGUCCAUCCUUCCUGAGUUAAUUGUUCAGCUGUCCAACCUCCCGGAGUUAAUCGUUCAGCUGUCCAACCUCCUGGAGUAUCGUUCAGCUGCUCAACCUAACGGAGUUAAUCGUUCAGCUGUCCAACCUCCCGGAGUUAAUUGUUCAGCUGUCCAACCUCCCGGAGUUUAUCGUUGACUUUCCAACCUCCUGGAGUUCGUCGUUCAGCUGUUCAACCUCUCGGAGUUUGUCGUUCAGCUGUCCAACCUCCCUGGGUUCGUCGUUCAGCUCUUCAAACUCCUGGAGUUUAUCGUCUAACUGUUCAACCUCCUAGAGUUUAUGUUCAUGUCCAACCUCCCGGAGUUCGACGUUCAGCUUUUCAAACUCUUGGGAGUUUUCGAAUUUAUAAGGCUACUAAUUUUUUUGUUAAUCCAAAGUUUUUUUGUGAUUUUUUUAUUUGUUAAAAUUUAUGCAUCUGUUAUGUCAAUAAAACCCCAUAUUAUGUGUCC